UCGCUGACGAGUGGCGGACGGGUGAGUAAUGCUUGGGAACUUGCCUUUGCGAGGGGGAUAACAGUUGGAAACGACUGCUAAUACCGCAUAAUGUCUACGGACCAAACGGGGCUUAGGCUCCGGCGCAAAGAGAGGCCCAAGUGAGAUUAGCUAGAUGGUGAGGUAAAGGCUCACCAUGGCAACGAUCUCUAGCUGUUCUGAGAGGAAGAUCAGCCACACUGGGACUGAGACACGGCCCAGACUCCUACGGGAGGCAGCAGUGGGGAAUAUUGCACAAUGGGGGAAACCCUGAUGCAGCCAUGCCGCGUGUGUGAAGAAGGCCUUCGGGUUGUAAAGCACUUUCAGUUGUGAGGAAAGGGUGUUGGUUAAUACCCAAUAUCUGUGACGUUAACAACAGAAGAAGCACCGGCUAACUCCGUGCCAGCAGCCGCGGUAAUACGGAGGGUGCGAGCGUUAAUCGGAAUUACUGGGCGUAAAGCGCACGCAGGCGGUUUGUUAAGCUAGAUGUGAAAGCCCCGGGCUCAACCUGGGACGGUCAUUUAGAACUGGCAGACUAGAGUCUUGGAGAGGGGAGUGGAAUUCCAGGUGUAGCGGUGAAAUGCGUAGAUAUCUGGAGGAACAUCAGUGGCGAAGGCGACUCCCUGGCCGAAGACUGACGCUCAUGUGCGACAGUGUGGGUAGCGAACAGGAUUAGAUACCCUGGUAGUCCACACCGUAAACGCUGUCUACUAGCUGUGUGUGAAUUUAAUUCGUGCGUAGCGAAGCUAACGCGCUAAGUAGACCGCCUGGGGAGUACGGCCGCAAGGUUAAAACUCAAAUGAAUUGACGGGGGCCCGCACAAGCGG
rnacentral:rRNA from 1 species